UGGAGCUGCUGGAACUCUGUUCUCAAAGCAAAAGUGAAAUCCAUUGGCUCCCACAGGCCUUCACUGCCCAGGGGCAGAGUGGGGUUCCCCUGCCGCUUGGGCUGAGGUGCCAGGAGAGCUGGACCCCUUCCCUCACACACACACACACGUGUGCACACACUCUCACACACACACAGGCCAGACACAGGCCACAUGUGGCCCAGGCUCCUCUCAGGUCUCUGUGCUUUGCUCUCAAGGCUUGGAGAGGUGCCCCCUCCCUGGCACUCAGCGCCUGCUGCACGGGCAGGAAUGCGGCUUGGGAGAACUGUACAGUGACCAGCAGAAGGUAGGAAAAAGGAAGGAAGGACAAGCAUCAAGUGCCAGCUGCUGUCUGAACUAAUGGAGCACUUCUC
rnacentral:lncRNA from 1 species